GGCUCCGUAGCUCAACUGAAUAGAGCACUUGACUACGGAUCAAGAGGUUCAAGGUUUGAAUCCUUGCGGAGACACCA
rnacentral:tRNA from 1 species